CCCUUAGAUGUUCUGGGCCGCACGCGCGCUACACUGAUGCAUUCAACGAGCCUAGCCUUGACCGAGAGGUCCGGGUAAUCUUUGAAACUGCAUCGUGAUGGGGCUAGAUUAUUGCAAUUAUUAAUCUUCAACGAGGAAUGCCUAGUAAGCGUGAUUCAUCAAAUCGCGUUGAUUACGUCCCUGCCCUUUGUACACACCGCCCGUCGCUCCUACCGAUUGAGUGUGUUGGUGAGGAGUUUGGAUUGGCCUCGGAAGGUGGUUCGCCACCGUCCGCAGCUGAGAAGUUCUCCAAACCGCCCCACUUAGAGGAAGGAGAAGUCGUAACA
rnacentral:rRNA from 1 species